UGAUAACUACUGUGGGUAUAACUUUCUUAAAAGCUCGAUCAUGUGUCAUCUUCUUGGAUGAACUUGAUUCUCUUGACCCUCCCAGGGGCGUUUUUGGAGAUUUCGUGGGCCUAAUGGAUUAAGUGGUUUCUUAGAUGCUUGCUGAAAUUGAUGGUACGAACAACUCUACUCAGGUUACCCUCUACAUAGGUUGCACUCUUAUCACUAGACCAAAGCCUUGGGGCUAGUGUUUUGUUCCCGUGGUACUUAUCUUAUUUGUGGAUCUAAGUUUUGACCCUUCUCAUAUACAUGACUUUUUUUAUUAUUGAAGCUAGUAGCAUGCCAAAUCUUAUUGAUCCUGCCCUUUUGAGGCCAGGGAGAUUUGAUAAGCUCUUUUUUGUUGGCAUUAAUUCUGAAGCCUCGUACAGAGAAAGGUAUUCUUGUAUUCUGACCCUCUCUAGUACCUAUCUUUGUAUUUUUCGUUUGAUUUCUCAAAUUUUCUAAAAUUAUUAGGGUCCUUAAAGCACGUACACGAAAAUUUAAAUUGAAAGAAGAUAUAUCUCUACUCUCAAUGGCAAAAAGGUAACCCUGAACUUCAUGGGAGCUGACAUGUAUGCACUGUAUAUUGAUGCUUGGUUCCAUGCUGCGAAGCGCAAGGUGUGUGUUUGCACCUCAUAUUUCUAAGUUUUGAAUACUUUACUUAUAUAGUGUUGGUGCAAUAGGUAACAUAGAGUAACUUUGCAAUUCUAAACAAUCAACGAUAUCUGAUUCACCAAGCCCGGAUGAUCCGAAUGACUCAAGUCGACUAUGAACAUUAUCCUAACGAUUCAAAAAGAGUGAAUUUAAGAUUUGUGAAGACUUGCAGGUAAUGUAUCUUGCCUCAUUGCUCCUUCUGCAUAAGACUUCAAAGCAAUGACACACCGCAUUGAAGUCUUCAUGCAUAUUUUUAGUGUUUAGUUCUUAUGUAUACAUGUUUCGUUGUAGAAGUAUUUCCGACAUUUGAAACACUUUCUUCGUGGUAUCUACACAGAUUUUCUGAAUUCGUGUUGGCUAUUUGAGAAUCCAAAAAUAACGUGAAAUAAGGCGGCUUCUUAACAAAUUUUUCAAAUAAUGGAUUAAAAUAUUGUCAAAAUUUCUUUUUCCCCUUCAAACUAAAAAGAGCGUGCAGCAAAAAAAUCACAUCACUCUUUAAUUAUUUUUCUUAGUUGAGAGUAUUUUGUACUAGUAUUAUGAAGAUGACUUCUUUUGAUUUCUCUAUUUAGUUCUUGUCGAUGACAAUAACGACUUUGAUUUGUUCUGUUUUCUAUGUCAAGGCAGGUACUCCUAGUGAAACUUGUAGUUCUUGGCUAUGUAAAAAACUUUGUGAAUAGAAGUGUCAAUUAAGUGUCCUAUUGCUGAUGUCUGGUAGGGGAGAUGAUAGAUAUUCUGUGAAGGUACAUGAAAAUUGGUUCGAACACCAUGAUCAUUGGAAAAAAAAAAAAAAAUAUGUGAAGAAAUGUGUUAUGUAUUCAUUAGUUUGGGAAAAAUAUUAGAUGUGGUUAAACUUUAAAAUUAUUUUUUAUGUAAUAAAUAGGAGAUGUGGGACCUCUUUUGAUUUUUGGCAUGUUACUUCUUUGAUAUUUUGGACUCCCUUAAUCAAAAUCAUGUCACUGCUACUGCUUCCAUCAGUCUGUUUAUUUGAAGUGUUAAUGGAAGAGAUUUUGCAUGUCUUUAUGACUUUAUCUGUAAUAUAGAUAAAAUCAGCGCAGACAGUCUGAACCUCAGAUAUGUAGAUAAAGAUGAACCAAUUAGUAGCACCAUUAAUGAAGCUUCAUCUACAAGAAUAUAAAUUCUUAAAAAUUGUUGGUAAUGAACAAUAUCGAUCAGAUGCUACUUUAAUUCGUUUUAACUUUGCAGUUAAGUUGAUAUUUGUAUUCCUAUGCGGGUGUUGAUUAUGUAUCCUUUAAUAUAAUUGAAUCACAGGAAAGUCCUUGACAUGGCAAGAGAAAAAUGAAUUGACAAUGACCAUCAAAAGUGGAAAAUUACAGGUUUUUUUCUUCAUCUAAGGAUCAAGUGAAUAUUUUCGGAAUUUCUCUUCUAUAAGAAAUAAUUCAGCAUACAUAGCACAUCUUAAUGGAGGAUUCAUAGAUGGAGAUAGAAC